UAGGGAAUCUUCCACAAUGGACGCAAGUCUGAUGGAGCAACGCCGCGUGAGUGAAGAAGGUAUUCGGAUCGUAAAGCUCUGUUGUUGGUGAAGAAGGAUAGAGGUAGUAACUGGCCUUUAUUUGACGGUAAUCAACCAGAAAGUCACGGCUAACUACGUGCCAGCAGCCGCGGUAAUACGUAGGUGGCAAGCGUUGUCCGGAUUUAUUGGGCGUAAAGCGAGCGCAGGCGGAAGAAUAAGUCUGAUGUGAAAGCCCUCGGCUUAACCGAGGAACUGCAUCGGAAACUGUUUUUCUUGAGUGCAGAAGAGGAGAGUGGAACUCCAUGUGUAGCGGUGGAAUGCGUAGAUAUAUGGAAGAACACCAGUGGCGAAGGCGACUCUCUGGUCUGCAACUGACGCUGAGGCUCGAAAGCAUGGGUAGCGAACAGG
rnacentral:rRNA from 1 species